rnacentral:lncRNA from 1 species
GCAUGUCCCUCCCAGCUGCCCUACCUUCCAGAGCCCAUAUCAAUGCCUGGGUCAGAGCUCUGGGGAGGAACUGCUCAGUUAGGACCCAGACGGAACCAUGGAAGCCCCAGCGCAGCUUCUCUUCCUCCUGCUACUCUGGCUCCCAGAUACCACCGGAGAAAUUGUGUUGACACAGUCUCCAGCCACCCUGUCUUUGUCUCCAGGGGAAAGAGCCACCCUCUCCUGCAGGGCCAGUCAGAGUGUUAGCAGCUACUUAGCCUGGUACCAGCAGAAACCUGGCCAGGCUCCCAGGCUCCUCAUCUAUGAUGCAUCCAACAGGGCCACUGGCAUCCCAGCCAGGUUCAGUGGCAGUGGGCCUGGGACAGACUUCACUCUCACCAUCAGCAGCCUAGAGCCUGAAGAUUUUGCAGUUUAUUACUGUCAGCAGCGUAGCAACUGGCAUCC